GCCCAAACCAGAAACUUCGUUUCUGGGGUUGUGGAUAGAUCAUAACGCUUUGAUUUUCUUAGCCGAAUAGAACUGGAAAGUUCAGUCGUAGAAGGUAAUAACCCUGUAGGCGAAAAGAAAAGAUAAGCAGAUCUACUCCAGAGUACCACGAGACACGUGAAACCUUGUGGGAAGCAGGGAGGACCAUCUCCCAAGGCUAAAUACUACCUAGUGACCGAUAGCGAAGCAGUACCGUGAGGGAAAGGUGAAAAGAACCCCGGGAGGGGAGUGAAAUAGAACCUGAAACCGUGUGCCUACAAUCGGUGGGAGCACUUUUAUGUGUGACCGCGUACUUUUUGUAGAACGGGCCAGCGAGUUACGAUAUGCAGCAAGGUUAAGCACUUCUGGUGCGGAGCCGAAGGGAAACCGAGUCUGAAUAGGGCAACUAGUUGCAUAUCGUAGACCCGAAACCGGGUGACCUAUCCAUGGCCAGGAUGAAGCGAAAGUAAAAUUUCGUGGAGGUCCGAACCACGU
rnacentral:ncRNA from 1 species